rnacentral:lncRNA from 10 species
CUUGGCUCACUGCAACCUCCAGCUACCAGGUUCAAGUGAUCCUCCUGCCUCAGCCUCCUGAGUAGCUCGGAUUACAGGUGUGCACCACCAUGCCCAGCUAAUUUUUGUAUUUUUAGUAGAGACUAAUGGUUGCACAACUCUUAUUCAAAAUCAUUAAAUUAUAUACUUAAAACGGAUCCAUUUUAUGGUAGAUAAAUGAUACCUCAAUAAAACCAUUAAUCAAAUAUUAAUUGCAAAUAGAACUGAGAGUGGAGAAAUCAUUUCUGGUUUUGGACAUUAGGAAAGGCUUCCUGGAGGAGGUGGCAUACAUGAUGGACUUGAUAAGUUUAUUUUUAGAUAAGAACAUUUUAAACAUUCCAACAGUAAGAGACUAUUGAAAAUAAAUGAAAUUCAUUGAAUAGAAGUAAUUAAAAUAAUAAUGUAACUCUUUAAGCAUUGCAAUGGAACCAUCCAGGAAAACUUGACUUCUCAAAUGAACUAAAUAAGCCACCAUGGACCAAUCCUGGAGAAACAGAGAUAUGUGACCUUUCAGAGAGAGAAUUCAAAAUAGCUGUGUUGGGGAAACCUAGCUCUCUUGCUGCUGCUCCGGCCCUGUGAAAUGCCUUCUCCCCCUUUACCUUUCUCCAUGAUUGUAACUUUCCCAAGGCAUUCCCAGAAGCUGAGCAGAUGCCAACAUCAUGC